GAUGAACGCUGGCGGCGUGCUUAACACAUGCAAGUCGAACGGAAAGGCCCAAGCUUGCUUGGGUACUCGAGUGGCGAACGGGUGAGUAACACGUGGGUGAUCUGCCCUGCACUUCGGGAUAAGCCUGGGAAACUGGGUCUAAUACCGGAUAGGACGAUGGGUUGGAUGCCAUUGUGGAAAGUUUUUUCGGUGUGGGAUGAGCUCGCGGCCUAUCAGCUUGUUGGGGGGGUAAUGGGCUACCAAGGCGUCGACGGGUAGCCGGCCUGAGAGGGUGGACGGCCACAUUGGGGCUGAGGUACGGCCCAGACUCCGACGGGGGGCAGAAGGGGGGAAUAUUGCACAAUGGGGGCAAGGCUGAUGCAGCGAAGCCGCGUGGGGGAUGACGGCCUUCGGGUUGGAAACUCGUUUCGCUAGGGAAGAAGCGGUUAUGUACCGGAACCGGGAGAAGAAGCACCGGCUACCUAGGU
rnacentral:rRNA from 1 species